GACAGAGGGUGCAAACGUUGUUCGGAAUUACUGGGCGUAAAGCGAGUGUAGGCGGUUUUCUAAGUCAGGUGUGAAAGCCCCGGGCUCAACCCGGGAAGUGCACUUGAAACUGGAAGGCUAGAGUAUCGGAGAGGUUGGUGGAAUUCUCGGUGUAGAGGUGAAAUUCGUAGAUAUCGAGAGGAACACCGGUGGCGAAGGCGGCCAACUGGACGAAUACUGACGCUGAGACUCGAAAGCGUGGGGAGCAAACGGG
rnacentral:rRNA from 1 species